UGUAGGGAGGGUGGGGCAGGGCUUUCCCCCCCUCUUCUUCCAACCGCAACCUUGUAAACCCAUCUCUUCACACACACACCCGCCUUUCUGAAAUACGCCAAGAAUUCCACCGGUAGCAUCGACCACCCCCUGCACCAGGUGACGUGUAAAGAGUUUCUCGCUUGCCUCUUCAUCCAUAGCCUUUCACUAUCAAGGCCAUCCUGUACUCUGCUGGUAUACGAAUUUCCUCCUUAAGGCCAUUUAGGUGCAAUCCUUAUUCCCGCUCCUCGGGGAGUAGCCCUCUUUCAGCGCAUCCAUGCGAUUUUUUUGCCAUGGGCUUCCACAGACUGGGCUCCAACGCCAGGGUGCAUGGCUAACUACUGCCCCUCCCCUCCGUGUUUUAACAGUAACAGCCGGAUCAGUGCAUAUUUAUUUGGAAAUAAAUCCCACUGGGUUCAGUGGCGCUCCCCCCCUUCGAAGUCUCCAUAGGACUGCAGCUGUCAGUUGCAUUCCGAAGCACACUGACUUGCCAGUCAGCCGUUGCAAUCUAUGAGUCUCGUUUCCGAAUAAACAUGCAAAAGAUCAGGCUGUAAUUCGACGCUCACCGACUUUUGGAGCGAGCCUACCGGACUCCGCAGGACUGAUUUCAACACGCUGAAGAGUCGGCUGCACGGCCGCAAGUACACAAAGUGGGAUCAGGAUUCCCUGGAAUAUUUUUUUCCUCAAUUCUUCCACUCUCUCUAGCCUUCCCCACGCCGUCACCUUAUGUUUCCUCCUUCUCCCGCAAACUCCCUUUCCAAAAGCGCUAUCCUAUUUCCAGCCUAAUAAUAAAUCUGCGUGGGGAAGCUGAUUUUUGUGAUCCACGCCCCCCCUUUCAAACAAAGGGGUCUUUCGUUGAUGAAGCUGGAUUUCAAAACCUCCCCUUUCGCCAACUUCUCUGAAAAGUGCUCCAAACUUUGGGGCAUCAGGCAACAAGCAGACGUGCGAGACAAAACAAGGAACAGCCCCAAAGCAAAACGGAGCCGAGCGCCUCUCUUUGCAAAGGGCUCCAAGACCCAUGCGCGAAGCACGCACUCACACUUCCCAAAGUCAGAAGGAAUGGGUGCUAUAUAUAUAUUUUAAAAGCCAACAAAAACGCAGAAGCAGAGCCGGAAGUUUUACCAUGUCUUCGGGGCUUACAGCUUCGUCAAUUUUCCAUCCUUUCCCCUCCAUGACACCCAAAGUCUCCACGUGUUUAUUUAUUUCCUCCCUUCCCCAAGAAAACUUAAGAGAAAGAGACGGGUGUUGGCGCAGGCCCCAGCGGGUCUGACCGCUGCUCGGACGGACGUCGGCAGGGAGGCGAUCCGAACACGUUUUGAGCAGAUGGAGAGACGGCCGGUUUUGUUUUGUUUUGGACAGCCCUCAGUUGCUGCGUCUUAAUGGCCCAGCAUUAACCUCCUCCUCGACUCCCGAAUUUGCAGUUCGAUUCGGAUUGGAAUUCUCAACCCACCGCCGCGUAUUUAAUGGAAGGGCGUUCAAGUCCAUCUCCCCCAACGCCCCCUUGAGCGCCCAGAUGGGGAGCCCAGCAAGUCCCAGUACUUGGCCGGCGGAUCCCAAAUGAAACGCGGGGGGCUUCCUCCUGACUGAACGUGGUUUGGAUCUGGCCAGGAGGGUGUUCAGUGAUCUUGAGCCUGCGACCUUGGAAGGAGCUAGUUGUGGUUCUCCCAUUUACCUUGCUGUAAGAUUGAUUUAAAAGCGGCAAACAAGAAAUUGCGGGUAUCUCCCUGCCGGCGACCAUACCAAACAUGUCGCUGGACUUGAACUAGCCAGGGACUUGCAAGCUGGUCUAGGAUCAACCAUUGCAUUAACUGAUUCUAAAUAUGUGCCUGGUCAGACCUAACACAGACCAAUUAUUUCAGCGCAUAUCGCUGCGUGGAAGUUUUUUGUCCAAUUUUAUUCUUAUGGCAAGCCUAAUAAUUAAGGGAUCCUCCCCGCCCCCCAGCGAGUUUAAUCCUGUUAACAAACAAAUCAAUGGGAUUAAUUUCCCAAUGUGUUUGGGCUCUGCGAGUAAGAAUAUUGACCCCCGCGCAUUAAACACCCCCUUUUUCUUCCUCGAGAGACUCUGGUUGCAGGGAGCUUUAAGGAAAUUCACCUUCCCACAAAAGAACCAGGACCCACCAGAGUCCUUUCCAGUGCCGAAAUCUGUGAAGUGUUAGCCACAAGCUGUGAAAUCAGAGAUUAAAAAGUGUGUCUUCAAGCAUGUGCAGAGUGUCCCGCCGUCACUCCCGAAUAACCUGCGAUCAGACCACUUCCACGCACAACUGGGAUAGCGUGUGUGUGUGUCUGUGUUGUGGGAAGAGUUUUCUGGGUCCAUUUCUUCAGCUUCGGCACUUCUCAUUUUAGAAAUCCUAUACCCACUUAGUUGGGAGUCAGCCGUGUUGAAGUCAAUGGAACCUACUGUUGAGUAGACACAUUCAGGAUUGCACCGACGGGCGCAGAGUUUACAGCAGCGGUGACAAGCCCCCCGCCCCAGUCCAAGCAGAGGAACCUUACUCUUCCUUUCUGGGGGUGUCCUCCCCACCCACCGUUCACCGACCCCGAGCAUGGGCUUCUUUCCCAUGCCCACCAAACUUUCUUAACACAGCAGUAUAAAGCAAAGGCACCUCGUUGCCCCAAGUCUCCUAUAAGUAACCGACGAAAGGAACCCCGCAGUCCAUGCAUGCACGCACGCACUCUCUCCCCUUUGCUCAUCCCCAGCACGGGAGUGAGGCUGGCUCUCUCUUGCCCGCUCUCAGCCCUAGGUAAACAGUGCCAAAGCGGUUUGAUUGAUGACCGGUACUUUCGCUCCCACAGCCAGCCUUAGGUUUUCCAGCCGGCUUACUGCAAAAGGUAGGCUUUUGGUGGGGGUGGGGAAGGGCGAAAAGGCAGCCGUGGAGAAGCACCCCGCGGGCAAGAAGGUCUCUUUCUUUUUUACCUGCAAUCACGCCGGGCUGCGCCUACGAUCUCCUGGCGAGAGCUUGUCCAUGGCAAAGUGUGGCCGCUUCUUUUCGCCUCGAUCGCAGCAGCGGCGCGCUUGGGAGAGAGCAGCAGCAGCAGCAGCAGCUAUAGCAGCUCGCUAAUGGAGACAUUGCUCAGUGUAUAUAAUACCUGACUGGAGUCCGUCCGACUAGUGAGUGCCUCCAGUCCCCAGGCACCACAGUCACUUCACUAACCCCCUGUACCGGAGUGACGUUCGAGUGAAUAGCUGCGCUCAUCGCGUGCCUUUUCCUCCUCCUGAUUAACACUUUCCAACGCUGCCCUCGCUCGCUCCUGCGACUCCCCCGCUCGCAACUUUCGCUGGUGGCUGCUGUCAACGCAGAAGUAAGGGUCCUGAUCCCACUUAUAUUGGAAGUGCUUCAGCUUCAGAAGAAACAGGAGGAAGGGUGAUCAGACACAGCAAAACUAUACUGCUUCCAGCACUUGAAGAAAGAGAGGAAUACUGCUAAGAAGCGUCCACAGGCAGUGGCGUUAUAGCAAGGAGAUCCAUUUGAAAGCCUGGUUAUACUACCGCCAAUCACCUCUUCUUGUGGAGGUGGGGAGAGUAGAAGCAGAAGGUAGAAAAGAGGACAUGGAUGUUGGAAGACUGGAAGGAGCUACCAGAGGAUAAACAGUCACAGAUUAACAGAGAGAAAUGGUUUUAUGAAUGAACACAUGGGAAAGUGGCACAGAGACUGGAAACAGACUAAGUCUAGAAGAACGUUUUCCAGAAAAAGAGAAAAAGGAUUUCAUGCACUUGGUCACUGAGGAAGACAGGUUGUUGAAACACAUCUGCCUGGCCAAAACACCAAAGGAAAACUUUUUAAAAUAUGUAUUUGUCUUAUCAACUGGUGAUAUAAGUGCC